CUGUGAUGGUUAAUUUUAUGUGUCAACUGGACUGAGCUAAGGGUGCCCAGCUAGCUGGCAAACGCAUUAUUUCUGGGUGCAUUCAUGAGGAUAUCUUUGGAAGAGAUAAGCAUUUGAAUCAGUAAGCUAAGCAAAGGAGAUUAUCUUCACCAAUGUGAGUGGACAUCAUCCAAUCUGUUGAGGGUCUGAAUAGAAGAAAAAGAUGAGGAAGGACAAAUUUGCUGUUUGUUUGAGCUAGGACAUCUGUCUUCUCCUGUCCUGGACAUCAGCACCAUUGCCUUCAGACUUACUCCACUGGCUCCUCUGGGUCUCAGGCCUUCAGGUUUGGACUAGAACUACAUCAGCUCUCCUGAGCCUCCAGCUUGCAGACAGCAAAUCCUGGGAUUUCUCAGCCUCCAUAAUUGCGUGAGCCAACCCUCAUGAGAAAUUUCUUUCUACAUGUCUACAUAUGUCCUACUGGCUCUGUUUUUUUGGAGAACCCUGAUUCAUAUACCAGUCAAAUGAGAAAUGCAAAGUCUAUUUCUUUAGAUUUUACUAUGGCAAGGGAGUCAGCCUACCAUACUUACAUUUGGCAGAGAUUCAAAGGUAGGCAGAGGGGUGAGAAAGCUUCACAGUAGAACAAAGAGAAGACUUCACAUACAUCUCGAUCAGCACAGGGACACUGUAGCUUUGAUUUGGGAGCGGGGGUCCUGAGGGCAUGGACACACUCGCUGACCAGCCUGGCAGCCUCCAGAGCAGUGCCCCAGUGCACU